rnacentral:tRNA from 1 species
AUAGAGGUGGCUCAGUGGUUAAAAGCACUGAUUGCUCUUGAAGAGGACCUGGGUUCAAUUCCCAGCAUCCACA